rnacentral:tRNA from 1 species
GAGCCCCUAGCUCAGUUGGUUAGAGCAUCUGACUUUUAAUCAGAGGGUCCUCGGUUCGAACCCGAGGGGGCUCA